rnacentral:rRNA from 1 species
UGCGUAGGCGGUUUUGCAAGUCAGAAGUGAAAGGCUACGGCUCAACCGUAGUAAGCUUUUGAAACUGCAAGACUAGAGUGCAGGAGAGGAAAGUGGAAUUCCUAGUGUAGAGGUGAAAUUCGUAGAUAUUAGGAGGAACACCGGUGGCGAAGGCGACUUUCUGGACUGUAACUGACGCUGAGGCACGAAAGCGUGGGGAGCGAACA